UGUGCACUGGUGGGGUCCCUCAGCCUGGCCUGUGCCCUCUCGCAAUCUGGACCCCUCAGAGGAUAUUGGACUGCUGGUUUGGGCCCCAUGCCCACAGGCCAGGCUGAGGGACCCCACUGGUGCACA
rfam:Myotis davidii contig92361, whole genome shotgun sequence.